rnacentral:tRNA from 3 species
GGGCCUUUAGCUCAGUUGGUUAGAGCUACCGGCUCAUAACCGGUUGGUCCGGGGUUCGAGUCCCUGAAGGCCCACCA